GGUUGUAGCACUAACAGGAGCUUUAAACAUGCAUUAUGCAAGAGCUAAAUCUGUCUAUUGUGGGUCUUGAUUAGACAUUAAUUAACUUAUCAAAUUCAUAAUCAACUCUCGUUGCCAUCGUUAGCCUGUGAUAUUUAGUGCGUUUGAAUAUUUUUUGUGGUGGAUGAUUUAACGUAAAAAUUGGAUAAUCGAAACUUGGUUUAUUAUCGUACCAACGGUAGUUAUGACGAUUGAGGCUAACAAAUUUUACUGAAAUUUUCGGCAUAUUCUGUUUUCAUUAUCUAUUUUAGUAACUAUUAUAGCGAGAACUGUCACCCUUUAAUCUACAAGAAACAUAAGUAAUAAUUAUUUGACGUCGAAUUUGUUUUAUUAAAGAUAAUAUGGGAGAUUAGAUAAAGAGCUGGUAGUUCGCACUAUAAUAGUUAAAAACUAGAUAAUGUAAAGUGAAUUUGCUGAAAAUUUCAGUCAAAAUGAUCAACUCUGAACCGAGAAUUAAGCGAUUGAAUUUUAGGCCUAGUCUUGAUCAUCAUUACUAAAGUCGGUACGAAAAAGAAACAUAGUCUCGAUUAUCCAGUUUUUGAUAUAUUCAUCAAUGAGCGUUGAGCAGCACAUCGGAUUCCAAUCCAGUAAAUAUCACAGGCUAGCGAUGAAGUUGUUUAUAGUCUGGAUAAGUUAAUUAAUGUUAACAAUUGACUCCAAAUGCGUUGACAAGAAAAUAAGUAAAACUGUUAUUGAAUGUGAUUGGUUGAUAAAAUCAACGUACUAUAGGCUACAUUUUGUCUGCGAUAUCAUCUCGGUGGAAGCGGACAUUAAAUGAAGUGAUUUCACACAAUUAAUCUUGUGUUUUUUCCAUAUAAUUAACACAAGUAAUGUGUACCGUCAACAAAUAUUUUUUUUUUUAAAUUUGAACUCCAUACAAAGUCUUAAUCCGGGGGUCCACAAGUAAGAGAAAGGUAUUUUUUACUCAGACAAUAUAGCCAGACAGACUUGAAUGCUAAUUGGUGUUAAGAUGUCUGUAGUUAAAAUAAAGUUGGGCCCAAUAAACUGGUAGAUCAAAGGCCCGUUGAGCGCUCAUGCCCGGUGUGAUUUUAACAAUUGACUCCAAAUGCGUUGACAAGAAAAUAAGUAAAACGGUUAUUGAAUGUGAUUGGUUGAUAAAAUCAACGUACUAUAGGCUACAUUUUGUCUGCGAUAUCAUCUCGGUGGAAGCGGACAUUAAAUGAAGUGAUUUCACACAAUUAAUUAAACAUUUAACAACGUGCUGAAAUGAUUUUGGAGCAGUGAUAUGUUUGACAAAUGUAAGCUAAUGGUCACAUAGAAUACAAGACCGCGGGUUUGUGAAUAUUUAUAUAAAAAAAAUAAUACCAUGUAUUUCGUUUCCUUAAAAAAAACUCCAACAAUUUAAACCGGAAGUUCAUGUUUAUAAUAUAAAUAUGGCGCGGUCAGGAAAAAAAUUUCGGCAUGUUAUUAUCAAAUCUGUUCAAUUUUUCUGAAAUCAUGCUUAAUUAACAUUAGUUGUUCGGCGCUACGAUGUUGUUCAAAUACUUACAUUACAGAAUCACAUUAUGAUUAAAGCAGAAACGGCUCGACUUGAACCAGCAGCAGACGGAAGAUAUGGACAAACAACAAGAAGAAGUUAUGGAGGUCCCAACAACUGAACCUAUGGAAGUAGAAGAAUCGUUUACAGCCGAAACCCGAUACGAUGUGCCAGUUCCGGUCAUGGAGUCCUUCAUCUCAGACGAUGCCGACGUUAGUGUCUUCUGCGACGAAGAACCCGUAGUGGUGUAUACGCAGGUAGAAGCUGGUACCUCCCGUGGCAAGUCCAAGUUGUUUGACAACCAAGGGUUUAGUUAUACAAUUAAGACAGAGAAGAAAACUACGAUUUGGAGGUGUUCCAAAAGAAGCGGACCAACAUGAUGUCCGGCAACAGUAAUCCAAGAUGGUGAUACAUACCAACCAGGCUUAAAGAACCAUCUUCACCCAGCAGAACCCGGUAUACACACGGCUACCAAGAUAAAAGUUACAGCAAAGCAUGAAGCCAAAGGAAAUGUUUUUACCAAGUCAUGUUCCUCAAUAGCGGAGAGAGUUUUAUCCAGUGUCGGUUCUGCAGAAGAACCCAUUCAUAGCAGACCACCCAUGGCAGCACUUGUAAAGUCGCUACAAAGAACCCGACAGACUCUGCGACCAAAAGAACCCACUGACGUGUCGUCAAGCCUUGACGAAGAUUUCAUCGAUCAUAGUGCACCGGGAUUUUAUCAAAAAAGAGUAAAAGUUGGGGAAAGGCGCCAUCACAUUUUUUGUACUGAUAGACAGAUGCAACUACUCGCACGCGCAAAAACUUGGUAUAUGGAUGCAACCUUUUGGGUGGUGAACAAGCCAUGAUCUCAGCUGUUUUCCAUUCACGCCUUCAUUAAGACUGGAGAGACCACCCGACAGUUACCAUUGGUGUUUUGUGUAAUGUCGGGUAAAAGCCAAGACGACUAUUAUAAGUCAGUGAUGAUAUGUGACUCUUUCCACCUUCCAGCAAUAAUUAUUGAAAUUUACCAAGGACUCCAUUGGCAUUGAAUCGAAGAAAAACAGUUUCAAUAUUGGAUGUAUAUGCAAAUCACCCAGAAAAAGAUCAUGUAAUAACAAAAGAAAUUAUAAAAGAAAAAAAUGGAAGAAGAAAUGGCUGGAAAAAAUGAUGAUAGAGCAGCUUUUUCUUGUUACCCACCUCGGAAGAUCAAGUUGGAAAGGGCUAUUGAUAUUGUGGAGACGUUUUCUCACAGAUCUUGCUUAUCAGACAAAGACUAUGCUGGAACACCAUUGAAAGAGUAUUUGCUGUAUGAUAACAACAAGAAAACCCAAGCAUCAAUUUAUUUUAUACUUCUGGGAAAGAAUGCAUUUGACCCAAUUUUUAAAUAUUUAUUUUUUGUUAUUAAUGUUAAAUUUUCUUCCAAAACACAAUUAGAUUUUAAUUCUCUUCAGAAAUGUAUGUAUAAUAUAGCAAGUAAAGUGACAUAUAAAUCACUUAGAAUUUGGUCAGAAAUCAUAAAGUAUUUAAUAGGCAUUACUAGAAACCAAAUGUAGAUCAAAUACACCCAGAAUUACAAAAAACCUUGACCUACUUAAAGGUGACUUUCCCUUGCUUAUGAAAUGAAAUACGGUUUAGUAUCCUACUUUUCUGUGUUCUUAGAGUGAUUCUGCCCUACACCCUACUCUUAUAUCAAAUAUUUCAACUGUCAAUGGUUCUUUAACGGGAACCCGGGGGAGAGGGGGGUCAAUGAUUAACACGCACACAUUUGAUCAGGAAGUCUGUCAUUGAGUCAAAUAAUUCAAUUGUCAAGGGUUCUUCUAAGUGAACGCAGUGGGGAUGGUUUCGAUUCCGGGAAUGGGGGAGGGGGUGGUGGAUGGCCGAAUGGUGAGCACGUGCGUGCGGUAUCAUACGGCCUGUCAUUGAGUCAACUGGCAUGGUUUCGAAUCCCCGGUUGUACGUGACAAGGAGUAGGGUCGCCUGUCCAAUCUUGUGGGUUUUCUCCGGGACCUCUGGUUUCCUCCCAAUGCUAAAGACCCCUAUGCGCAACGAAUUAUUGAAAUAAAAUUAAACCAUAUGUUAAUCCCGAAAUGACCUAGUUUGUGUCAAGUGGACGUUAAACCCCAUUUCUCUCUCUCUCUCUUUCGAUUCCGGGCUUGUACCCAAUUAUCCCUUGCCAUAUCCAACACUACUGACAAGUGGGAACUAUGCCGGAAAUGGUUUUACAUCAUUUUAUUACUCCUGCAAAAUAGUGCAUUUUUCUUUUGUUAGUUUUCUGUGUAUAUUAGUUAUUUCUAUAUGUCUCACAAAUCACUUGUAGUGUGAUUUUGUAGCACUUUUCAGUUUUUGAAAUUGUUUCAGUUUAGUGCAUAAUUAAUCUUAGUGCUUGGUUUGGAUGUUAUUAAAUUUAGAUAUUAUUUGAAUUAUAUAUUUUGGAGUAUGGGGUAGGGAUACUGUGUACAUAUCUUUAUAUUCUCAGUUCUUGUUUUGGGGUAAAGAACAAUUUAUAUAGCUAUUUUAUAUUUUGUGAUAGGUAAAGUGUGUGGGGUUAAGAACAAUUUAAAUAGCUAUGUUAUAUUUUGUGAUGGGUAAAGUGGGGUGUGUGUGUGUGUGUGGGAGGGGGGGGGGGUC